rnacentral:rRNA from 1 species
GAUGAACGCUAGCUACAGGCUUAACACAUGCAAGUCGAGGGGAAACGAUAGAGAAAGCUUGCUUUUUCUAGGCGUCGACCGGCGCACGGGUGAGUAACGCGUAUCCAACCUGCCCAUCACUUGGGGAUAACCUUGCGAAAGUAAGACUAAUACCCAAUGACGUCUCUAGAAGACAUCUGAAAGAGAUUAAAGAUUUAUCGGUUAUGGAUGGGGAUGCGUCUGAUUCACUUGUUGGCGGGGUAACGGCCCACCAAGGCAACGAUCAGUAGGGGUUCUGAGAGGAAGGUCCCCCACAUUGGAACUGAGACACGGUCCAAACUCCUACGGGAGGCAGCAGUGAGGAAUAGUGGUCAAUGGACGAGAGUCUGAACCAGCCAAGUAGCGUGCAGGAUGACGGCCCUAUGGGUUGUAAACUGCUUUUAUAAGGGAAUAAAGUGGGAGUCGUGACUCCUUUUGCAUGUACCUUAUGAAUAAGGACCGGCUAAUUCCGUGCCAGCAGCCGCCGUAA